GAGUUUGAUCGUGGCUCAGAUUGAACGCUGGCGGCAUGCCUUACACAUGCAAGUCGAACGGCAGCAUGAUCUAGCUUGCUAGAUUGAUGGCGAGUGGCGAACGGGUGAGUAAUACAUCGGAACGUGCCCUGUAGUGGGGGAUAACUAGUCGAAAGAUUAGCUAAUACCGCAUACGACCUGAGGGUGAAAGUGGGGGACCGCAAGGCCUCAUGCUAUAGGAGCGGCCGAUGUCUGAUUAGCUAGUUGGUGGGGUAAAGGCCCACCAAGGCGACGAUCAGUAGCUGGUCUGAGAGGACGAUCAGCCACACUGGGACUGAGACACGGCCCAGACUCCUACGGGAGGCAGCAGUGGGGAAUUUUGGACAAUGGGCGAAAGCCUGAUCCAGCAAUGCCGCGUGUGUGAAGAAGGCCUCGGUUGUAAGUA
rnacentral:rRNA from 1 species